rnacentral:rRNA from 1 species
UACGGGGGGGGCAAGCGUUGUUCGGAAUUACUGGGCGUAAAGGGUUCGUAGGUGGCCAACUAAGUCAGACGUGAAAUCCCUCAGCUUAACUGGGGAACUGCGUCUGAGACUGGAUGGCUUGAGUGCAGGAGAGGAACGCGGAAUUCCAGGUGUAGCGGUGAAAUGCGUAGAUAUCUGGAGGAACACCGGUGGCGAAGGCGGCGUUCUGGACAGUAACUGACGCUGAGGAGCGAAAGCGUGGGGAGCGAACAGG